rnacentral:rRNA from 1 species
CCGGGACCAUCCGGUAAGGCUAAAUACUCCCGAGAGACCGAUAGCGAACCAGUACCGUGAGGGAAAGGUGAAAAGCACUUCGAACAGAAGAGUGAAAUAGUUCCUGAAACCGUGCGCCUACAAGCGGUCGGAGCUCGUUAAUGAGUGACGGCGUGCCUUUUGCAUAAUGAACCUACGAGUUGCCUUUGCCGGCAAGGUUAAGUGUGACGACACACGUAUCCGAAGCGAAAGCGAGUCUGAACAGGGCGUAUAGUCGGCAGUGGCAGACGCGAAACCAAGUGAUCUACCCUUGGCCAGGUUGAAGGCUGGGUAACACCAGCUGGAGGACCGCACCAAUAAGCGUUGAAAAGCUUCUGGAUGAGCUGAGGGUAGGGGUGAAAGGCUAAUCAAACUUGGAGAUAGCUCGUACUCCCCGAAAUGCAUUUAGGUGCAGCCUUGAGAGUUACUAAUGUGAGGUAGAGCGACUGAUAAGAUGCGAGGGCUUCACCGCCUAUCAAGUCUUGAUAAACUCCGAAUGCGCAUUAGUUCUAUCUCAGGAGUGAGGGCAUGGGUGCUAAGGUCCAUGUCCUAAAGGAGAAGAAUCCGGACCAUCAGCUAAGGUCCCGAAAUAGAUACUAAGUUGAACUAACGAAGUCAGAUUGCUAAGACAGCUAGGAUGUUGGCUUGGAAGCAGCCAUUCAUUUAAAGAGUGCGUAACAGCUCACUAGUCGAGGAGUCGGGCGUGGAUAAUAAUCGGGUAUCAAGUUGUCUACCGAAGCAGUGGGAUCAUUAAUAUGAUCGGUAGGGGAGCAUUCCAGUCAGCGUCGAAGGCGUACCGUGAGGUAUUCUGGAGCGUCUGGAAAAGCAAAUGUAGGUAUAAGUAACGAUAAAGGGGGCGGGAAACCCCCUCGCCGAAAGACUAAGGUUUCCUGAUCAACGCUAAUCGGAUCAGGGUCAGUCGGGUCCUAAGGCUCAGCCGAACGGCGAUGCCGAUGGCAGAAACGGUUAAUAUUCCGUUACUACCUUCAGGAGUGACGUGGAGACGCAGUAGUGACAGUGCCGCCAUCUGACGGAAUAGAUGGUUGAAGGGUGUAGGAGUCGAUCAUGGCAGGCAAAUCCACCAUGAGAUCCGAACCUGACAGUAUGCCGCGUCCUUCGGGACAAGGCAAUAGUGCGCGUAAGCAUGCUGCCGAGAAAAUCCGCUAAACUUAAUCCUGCAGGUACCCGUACCGCAAACGGACACACGUAGUCGGGAUGAAUAUUCUAAGGCGCUUGAGUGAUUCACGGUUAAGGAACUAGGCAAACUGACCCUGUAACUUCGGGAUAAAGGGUCCCUACCCUUUUAUGGGAGGGCGCAGAGAAUCGGUCCAGGCAACUGUUUAACAAAAACACAGGGCUGUGCCAAAUCGAAAGAUCCAGUAUACAGCCUGACACCUGCCCGGUGCUGGAAGGUUAAGAGGAGAUGUCAUCGAUAAGAGAAGCGUUGAAUUGAAGCCCCAGUAAACGGCGGCCGUAACUAUAACGGUCCUAAGGUAGCGAAAUUCCUUGUCGGGU